rnacentral:rRNA from 1 species
UACGAAGGGGGCUAGCGUUGCUCGGAUUUACUGGGCGUAAAGGGCGCGUAGGCGGACAGUUUAGUCAGCGGUGAAAGCCCAGGGCUCAACCUUGGAAUUGCCUUUGAUACUGGCUGUCUUGAGUACGGGAGAGGUGAGUGGAACUCCGAGUGUAGAGGUGAAAUUCGUAGAUAUUCGGAAGAACACCAGUGGCGAAGGCGACUCACUGGCCCGUUACUGACGCUGAGGCGCGAAGGUCAGGGGAGCAAACGGG